rnacentral:rRNA from 1 species
UACGGAGGGCGCGAGCGUUACCCGGAUUUACUGGGCGUAAAGCGUGCGCAGGCGGCUUUGCAAGACAGAUGUGAAAUCCCCGGGCUCAACCUGGGAACUGCAUUUGUGACUGCAAGGCUAGAGUACGGCAGAGGGGGAUGGAAUUCCGCGUGUAGCAGUGAAAUGCGUAGAUAUGCGGAGGAACACCAAUGGCGAAGGCAAUCCCCUGGGCCUGUACUGACGCUCAUGCACGAAAGCGUGGGGAGCAAACAGG